rnacentral:rRNA from 1 species
CUGAAUAGGGCGCUUAGUCAGAUGCUGCAGACCCGAAACGAAGUGAUCUAUCCAUGAGCAAGUUGAAGCUAGUGUAAGAACUAGUGGAGGACUGAACCCAUAGGCGUUGAAAAGCCCCGGGAUGACUUGUGGAUAGGGGUGAAAGGCCAAUCAAACUUCGUGAUAGCUGGUUCUCUCCGAAAUAUAUUUAGGUAUAGCGUUGUGUCGUAAUAUAAGGGGGUAGAGCACUGAAUGGGCUAGGGCAUACACCAAUGUACCAAACCCUAUCAAACUCCGAAUACCUUAUAUGUAAUCACAGCAGUCAGGCGGCGAGUGAUAAAAUCCGUCGUCAAGAGGGAAACAACCCAGACUACCAGCUAAGGUCCCUAAAUCUUACUUAAGUGGAAAACGAUGUGAAGUUACUUAAACAACCAGGAGGUUGGCUUAGAAGCAGCCAUCCUUUAAAGAAAGCGUAAUAGCUCACUGGUCUAGUGAUUUUGCGCGGAAAAUAUAACGGGGCUAAAGU